CGGAGCGUAGCGCAGCCUGGUAGCGCAUCUGUUUUGGGAACAGAGGGCCGGGGGUUCGAAUCCCUCCGCUCCGACCA
rnacentral:tRNA from 1 species